UUGAUUGUUAAUAUAGAUAGCUUAAUCUUACUAGAGUACUAUGAAUUAAAAUUUAAAACUCAAAGGGCUUGGCGGUGCUUUAGACUUUUCAGGGGAACCUGUCUCGUAAUCGACAUUCCGCGUAUCAACCUUACCUUUUUUUGUUUUACAGUAUGUAUACCGUCGUCGUCAGGUAACUUUUAAAAACGAAGAAGUUAGCAGAAAAGAGAUUUUUAGCUUAGACGUCAGAUCAAGGUGCAGCUUAUAAAAAGGAGAGGAUGGGUUACAAUUAAAAUUUAUAACUACGGAAAUAAACUUUUAAAAGUUUAUGGAAGGGGGACUUGAAAGUAAAAAUUAGUAUUUAGAUUUUUUGAAUUGAGCUCUGAAGCG
rnacentral:rRNA from 1 species